AUGUCAUGUUUAUAUUAAAGCAGA
rnacentral:siRNA from 1 species